GGGGCGGUAGUUCAGCUAGGUUAGAAUACCAGACUGUCAAUCUGGAGGUCGCGGGUUCGAUUCCCGUCCGUCCCGCCA
rnacentral:tRNA from 1 species